UAUAGUGUAGAACUACUAUGCUAUCGGAAAUAUAGAGGAUUUGAUACUUUCGAAUUUUUGACCCUUUGAUCACACCUCUCACGUCUCACGAUAGAUCACAGCUCUCACGUCUUGCCUUCCUAAGGUUUGCCAAGCCUAAGCUUUUUUAGGUCCCAACGACCAAAUUCUAAGCUCUGAUACCAACUUAAUCUGUCACGCCCCACAUUACCUCGUUUCUCUGGGCACGCCAACAGAUCCGCCGUAUACAUAGAAAUUUUUUAUGUAUACGAAGCGAUAGCUGUACCUGUAAUCAAAUCAUAGCUACAACCAGAUGUAUAGAACUGCUAAUAAAAAUAUACAUAGAUAAAAACGAAGAAUUCACUGUACAUACAACAUCCAUGACUACACC
rnacentral:lncRNA from 1 species